rnacentral:rRNA from 1 species
UACCAGCACUCCGAGUGGUCGGGACGAUUAUUGGGCCUAAAGCAUCCGUAGCCGGUCCUACAAGUCUUCCGUUAAAUCCACCUGCUUAACAGAUGGGCUGCGGAAGAUACUAUAGGGCUAGGAGGCGGGAGAGGCAAGCGGUACUCAGUGGGUAGGGGUAAAAUCCUCUGAUCCAUUGAAGACCACCAGUGGCGAAGGCGCUUGCCAGAACGCGCUCGACGGUGAGGGAUGAAAGCUG